rnacentral:rRNA from 1 species
GAUGAACGCUGGCGGCGUGCCUAAUACAUGCAAGUCGAGCGAACGGACGAGAAGCUUGCUUCUCUGAUGUUAGCGGCGGACGGGUGAGUAACACGUGGAUAACCUACCUAUAAGACUGGGAUAACUUCGGGAAACCGGAGCUAAUACCGGAUAAUAUUUUGAACCGCAUGGUUCAAAAGUGAAAGACGGUCUUGCUGUCACUUAUAGAUGGAUCCGCGCUGCAUUAGCUAGUUGGUAAGGUAACGGCUUACCAAGGCAACGAUGCAUAGCCGACCUGAGAGGAUGAUCGGCCACACGAGAACGGAGACACGGUCCAGACUCCUAAGGGAGGCAGCAGUAGGGAAUCUUCCGCAAUGGGCGGAAGCCUGACGGAGCAACGGCGCGUGAGUGAUGAAGGUCUUCGGAUCGUAAAACUCUGUUAUUAGGGAAGAACAAAUGUGUAAGUAACUGGGCACAUCUUGACGGUACCUAAUCAGAAAGCCACGGCUAACUACGUG